rnacentral:rRNA from 1 species
GUACGAGAGGACCGGAGUGGACGAACCUCUGGUGUUCGGGUUGUGUCGCCAGACGCAUUGCCCGGUAGCUAAGUCCGGAAUUGAUAAGCGCUGAAAGCAUCUAAGCGCGAAGCAAGCCCUGAGAUGAGUCUUCCCUGAUACUUUAAGUAUCCUAAAGGGUUGUUCGAGACUAGAACGUUGAUAGGCAGGGUGUGUAAGCGUUGUGAGGCGUUGAGCUAACCUGUACUAAUUGCCCGUGAGGCUUAACCAUACAACACCCAAGGGGUUUUGUA